rnacentral:tRNA from 1 species
CUAGAAUUAUAGGAAUUGAACCUACUCCUAAGAAUCCAAAACUCUCCGUGCUCCCAAUUACACCAAAUUCUA